CCCGGAUAGUUAAUUAUAAACACUUAGGUCGUGACCCUAAAAACAGAGCCCCUCUUCCGAGCU
rnacentral:tRNA from 1 species